UGGGGAAUUUUGGACAAUGGGCGAAAGCCUGAUCCAGCAAUGCCGCGUGUGUGAAGAAGGCCUUCGGGUUGUAAAGCACUUUUGUCCGGAAAGAAAUCCUUGGCUCUAAUACAGUCGGGGGAUGACGGUACCGGAAGAAUAAGCACCGGCUAACUACGUGCCAGCAGCCGCGGUAAUACGUAGGGUGCAAGCGUUAAUCGGAAUUACUGGGCGUAAAGCGUGCGCAGGCGGUUUGCUAAGACCGAUGUGAAAUCCCCGGGCUCAACCUGGGAACUGCAUUGGUGACUGGCAGGCUAGAGUAUGGCAGAGGGGGGUAGAAUUCCACGUGUAGCAGUGAAAUGCGUAGAGAUGUGGAGGAAUACCGAUGGCGAAGGCAGCCCCCUGGGGCCAAUACUGACGCUCAUGCACGAAAGCGUGGGGAGCAAACAGGAUUAGAUACCCUGGUAGUCCACGCCCUAAACGAUGUCAACUAGUUGUUGGGGAUUCAUUUCCUUAGUAACGUAGCUAACGCGUGAAGUUGACCGCCUGGGGAGUACGGUCGCAAGAUU
rnacentral:rRNA from 1 species